GGGAGCUGGCGGAGCCGGUGGGCUGCUGGCCGGGCUGCUGGCCGGGCCGGGCGGGGCCGGCGACGCCGGGCUGCUGUUCGGUGCCGGCGGCACCGG
rnacentral:tRNA from 1 species